GGAGGUAUGGCUCAAGUGGUAGAGUGCCAGCCUUGAGCUGGCAAGUGUGGGAUGCCCUGGGUUCAAGUCCCGGUACUGGCA
rnacentral:tRNA from 1 species